rnacentral:rRNA from 1 species
GACAGCAGCAGCCGCGGGAAUACGUAGGGUGCAAGCGUUAAUCGGAAUUACUGGGCGUAAAGCGUGCGUAGGUGGUGGUUUAAGUCCGUUGUGAAAGCCCUGGGCUCAACCUGGGAAUUGCAGUGGAUACUGGGUCACUAGAGUGUGGUAGAGGAUAGUGGAAUUUCCGGUGUAGCAGUGAAAUGCGUAGAGAUCGGAAGGAACAUCUGUGGCGAAGGCGACUAUCUGGGCCAACACUGACACUGAGGCACGAAAGCGUGGGGAGCAAACAGGAUUAGAUACCCCGGUAGUCCCUGUCUCUUAUAC